rnacentral:rRNA from 1 species
GAUGAACGCUGGCGGCAGGCUUAAUACAUGCAAGUCGAACGGUAACAUGUCGGAGCAAUCUGAUGAUGACGAGUGGCGCACGGGUGCGUAACGCGUAUGCAACCUACCCAUAACCGGAACAUAACGUUGAGAAAUCGGCGCUAAUAUUCCAUGUGUAUAUUUUGUGGCAUCAUAGAAUAUAUAAAGAUUAAUUGGUUAUGGAUGGGCAUGCGUAUCAUUAGCUAGUUGGUGGGGUAACGGCCUACCAAGGCUGCGAUGAUUAGGGGUUCUGAGAGGAUAACCCCCCACACUGGAACUGAGACACGGUCCAGACUCCUACGGGAGGCAGCAGUAGGGAAUAUUGGGCAAUGGAGGCAACUCUGACCCAGCCAUGCCGCGUGAAGGAAGACGGUCCUAUGGAUUGUAAACUUCUUUUAUCAUAGAGUAACCGCAGGGACGUGUCCCUGCCUGCAAGUAUAUGAUGAAUAAGC